rnacentral:rRNA from 1 species
UACGGAGGGAGCUAGCGUUGUUCGGAGUUACUGGGCGUAAAGCGCACGUAGGCGGCUUUGUAAGUUAGAGGUGAAAGCCCGGGGCUCAACUCCGGAACUGCCUUUAAGACUGCAUCGCUUGAAUCCAGGAGAGGUGAGUGGAAUUCCGAGUGUAGAGGUGAAAUUCGUAGAUAUUCGGAAGAACACCAGUGGCGAAGGCGGCUCACUGGACUGGUAUUGACGCUGAGGUGCGAAAGCGUGGGGAGCAAACAGG